rnacentral:lncRNA from 1 species
UCAGACCUGAACUACAGCCUACCACUUUGCCUCAGGUUGAUUAAAGGAAAUAACACCUUUCUUCAUCAUUAAGAGUUGGCUUGCAGAGAGAGGAGGAAGAAAGACAGCUGCAAACUCAAAAUAUCCACAGGCUUCCCCUACAUGAACUGCGCUAAGAACCUGGAGCUGGCUGCAAUGGGCCACUGGGCUAAACUGUACUACUGAUUUAUUUCCAUAAUUACAAGCAGCACAGCCCUUCAACAAAGAAGAACAAUUUGGCUCUGGAAAGUAGAUGGACACCUUUAAAAUAGCUCAGCUUACUGUAUGCCAGCCACAGACAAAACACAAAGGAAGACAUGACCUCCGCUUCAAUAUACUCACAAGCACGGGAAAGAAAGAACUGGCAGAAAGAGGGGCUGGUAUGAUGUAUAUUAAUAAUAUUCAGAAGAAUGAGAAGUUGCUUUCCCCCUGAUACAACUUUUUUCUAUGUUGGAUAAACUUUUCCUUUCUUAAACAAAAGCAUUAAAAGAAAUGAUUUUAUAUUGUCAGUGGAUGCCUACAAUAAUAAACGCCUCUGUUCUUUUUA